GAUGAACGCUGGCGGCGUGCCUAACACAUGCAAGUCGAGCGAUCUUCUUCGGAAGAGAGCGGCGGACGGGUGAGUAACGCGUGGGUAACCUGCCCUGUACACGCGGAUAACAUACCGAAAGGUAUGCUAAUACGAGAUAAUGUGCUUUUAUCGCAUGGUAGAAGUAUCAAAGCUUUUGCGGUACAGGAUGGACCCGCGUCUGAUUAGCUAGUUGGUGA
rnacentral:rRNA from 1 species